AUACAUUUGUUUAUAAUUGUAUGAACACUGUCUUUCAUAUUUUGGGGUACAUGGCAGGUGAUUAUUCGAUAUAUCGAUUAUUCAGAUAGUCAACACUACUAUAUUUCAUAUUGUAUCGUUUAAAUUACCCUAAUUUAAAGCUAUUUUUAUAAAUUUAUACAAAUUGAAUCCUUAGAGAGAGUUUGUUGAUGCGCUGUUAAACAACACAACAUAUUGUAAACUUAAGGACCGAUUGUUUUUUGUUACAAUUGUAACUUUUUUAUAGGAUUGUAUGCGCAUAGUAUAUGUACAUGUAUGGAUAUGUAUAAAGAGAUAACAGCCCAAAGGAACAUUCGAGUUAAAUGGUCAUAGUUAACAAAACUAUUAACAGAUUCAUGAAUGUUUCUAAGGAGGUAUUUUGGUCAUACAUUUUGGACAAGAAAUGGAGCUCAUAUUUUCAACAAUACCAGAAACAGUUACUAAUAAUGCCCCAGUGAUAAAAAUAUUUUGGAUCAAUGAUAAAUGAGUAUCUCCAGUCCCAGGUGGUGUGUCUAUA